CAUUACCGAGUGCGGGUUCGAACGAGCCCAACCUCCCACCCGUGUUUACUGUUACCGCGUUGCCUCGGCGGGCCCACUGGGGCCUGGCCCCGGUCGCCGGGGGGCUUCUGCCCCCGGGCCCGCUCCCGCCGAAGCACCCUAGAACCCUGCCUGAACAGUGAGUCUGAGUGAGAUUUUAAAUCAUUAAAACUUUCAACAACGGAUCUCUUGGUUCCGGCAUCGAUGAAGAACGCAGCGAAAUGCGAUAAGUAAUGUGAAUUGCAGAAUUCCGUGAAUCAUCGAAUCUUUGAACGCACAUUGCGCCCCCUGGCAUUCCGGGGGGCAUGCCUGUCCGAGCGUCAUUUCUGCCCUCCAGCACGUGGGCUGUGGGGCGCUGUCCCCCCGGGGACACGCCCCAAAAGCAGUGGCGGCGCCGCGUCGGGUCCUCGAGCGUAUGGGGCUCUGUCACCCGCUCGGGAGGGACUCGGUCGGCGCUGGUCUUCCCUUUAGGCCGCCCUUCGGGGUGCGCCUCUUCCGGUUGACCUCGGAUCAGGUAGGGCUACCCGCUGAACUUAAGCAUAUCAAUAAGCGGAGGAAAAGAAACC
rnacentral:rRNA from 1 species